GAUGAACGCUGGCGGCGUGCCUAAUACAUGCCAGUCGAGCGAACGGACGAGAAGCUUGCUUCUCUGAUGUUAGCGGCGGACGGGUGAGUAACACGUGGAUAACCUACCUAUAAGACUGGGAUAACUUCGGGAAACCGGAGCUAAUACCGGAUAAUAUUUUGAACCGCAUGGUUCAAAAGUGAAAGACGGUCUUGCUGUCACUUAUAGAUGGAUCCGCGCUGCAUGAGCUAGUUGGUAAGGUAACGGCUUACCACGGCGACGAUGCAUAGCCGACCUGAGAGAGGGAUCGGCCACCCUGGAACUGAGCCACGGUCCAGACUCCUACGGGAGGCAGCAGUAGGGAAUCGUCCGCAAUAGGCGAGAGCCUGACGGAGCAACGCCGCGUGAGAUAUGAAGGUCUUCGGAUCGUAAAACUCUGUUAUUAGGGAAGAACAGAUGUGUAAGGAACUGUGCACAUCUUGACGGUACCUAAUCAGAAAGCCACGGCUAACUACGUG
rnacentral:rRNA from 1 species